UUGAGAUGGGUAGCUGCUAUGGGUUAUCCAGGUGGGCUCAACUGUAGGAGAAGGUCAUCAAGAGGACCUGACCGCUGAUUGACCCAGGGGCUGUGCUUGGGCAAUCAGAGGCUUCUGGCCCCUCCUCUGUCUUCGGAAUUUACAUUCUGCCCACCAUUCCCACACUGGGAGAUGAUUCAAGAAUUUAGCCUUGGAAAAGUUAAGUUGUUAUUGAAUCUAUCUGGACAUUAUAUGUGCUGAACCUAGUAUAAGCCUCUAUAUAAACCUCUAAGAUUCUGGCAGAUGGGUGAUAAGAUUUAUUUUGUCUUUUGACUGCCCAAGACAAACCUCAGAAGUAAGUUCCCUUGCUUAUUAAAACUGCCACUCCCAGUCUGGAUUGUCCUGACUCUUUCUUCAGUUUCUCCUUGCUCUCUGUUAUGGGAACCAGUUUUGGAUUUCACCCCAGAACUCCAAGUUUGUGAACCGCCAAUCUAAUCACAUACAAUCUUUACAAGUGGUGACACAUUUUCAGCUGCAGUUAAUCAGUGAUUAAGCUUGAGAGGAUUCAAAUCACCUUGUUGGUUUUAAGGACAGAGGAAGGCAGCUAUAAACACCGAGUAACAUGACCGUUUCGAGAAGCUUUUUCUAGAGAAAACAGUUUCUCCACUGGAAACUUCGGGAGACAUCGCCCUGCAGACACCUUGAUUUUUCCCAGUGAGUCCUGUGUUCGACUUUCAACCUGGAGAAUUCUAAGAAGACUGGAUUGUAUAUAUACAAAAUCCAAUAAAUUCCAGAUAGGCUCUAAAUCUAAUUAUGGAUGGUAAAAUAAUUUUAGAAGAAAAAAAUUGAGUAUCCUGAAGAUCUUGGGGAAAGUUUAUUGUUUAUUUUAUACAUUCACUCAGGAAAAAAAAUUCCACUCUCUUCAGAAAGAAGACUCCCCAUCGGACCAACCUCUCCAGUCUGACUCCCGCUUUGCCAGCGUUGGCUUUCUGUGCUCCAGCCACACUGACUUUGGGGUUUCAUUAUCUGGCUCUACAACCUAUUAGAAAACUCACUAAAAGCAGAGUGCUCCUGUUUUACUGAUACUACAGUUCCUGCUCCAGAUGUCAUGUGUGGUUGAUAAUUUCAAUUAAUGGUCCCAAUUUUUCACCAGUCUCAUCACCCAUGCCUUUUGGUAAUCCUCUCUACACUGACUCUGGUUCUUGUCAUGUAACUUGUUCCAGCCACUGGGAAAGUAGUGGCUUCCUCUCUUGCUGCCUCUCUCUUGCCAAGCCUGCUGGAAGAUAAGGCAACUGGUACAGAGCUGAAUCACCCUAGUUGUUCCAGCUAAGGCUGCUUUCUAAUAGCCAACAGAAAUGUACAAAGGCCCAGAAGAGAUCAUAAGAGCCUUCUGGCAGAUAAAGUGCUGGUCAGAGACCCAAGAGUAAGUCCAAUUGAGGCCAGCAGAAUCAUCUAGCCUACCUGUGUAUUUGUGAACUAUACUUACUGCAUAGCUGUUCUAAGCCAUUGGAUGUUGAGGGUAGGUUGUUAUACAGCAUUGUUUUAACAAUAAACAAGCCAUUCCCACCAUAUGCUUCAAAGAUUCUCUUUGCUAUACACAGCCAGAAUCAAAGAAAUGAGCAAAGCAGUCUACUGACUUGAGGUAAUUCCCAUGCUGCGUAAUUUUGACUUUGAAGAAAAAUACCAGCUAUGGCCUAUGGUUCUAGCAUAGCACCAAAUUAUAAUAUGAAAUUAUAACCAAAAUGAUAGCCUUUUUAAAUUGGAUUUGUGUUUGCAAUAUUAUUCUCAUUGACUCUAGACCCAUACACACAAUGGUAGUAGCUAUUUGUCCCUUCCCCAGUUUAUAUCCCAGCAAUUUCUCCUGCCUAGGACCAUUUCACAUAUGGUUUCCUAUGUGCAUACAAUAUGAUGACUAUCCCCUUGUGACCUAGCAUCUACUUUCUUAGACCUCAGCUCAUUCACCACUUCAUGGAAAUCUUCCCUGGCUAAAUAAGUCAAGGGAUUCUCAUUUUAUUAUGUACUUCUCCUUUGUGGCACUGACCAACAGGCAAAAUUUUCAUUUGUGAAAUUUUUAGGUUAAUUAUCUGUCCUUACCUAGAUUUUAAGUUCCAUGAAAGCCAAAAUAUUACAUAGUUUUGCUAAAUAUUUUGUUCUGCCGCCUCUUAACAAUGCCUAAUGCACAAAAGGCAGUCAAUACCUGGUGAAUGAAUAAACUUAAUUUAAAACCAUCACAAAAUCAAUGAAAAAAAUUGAAUGAUGUUUUUUGUGCAUUUAAUUAAUGAGAUGAUUUUUUUUAAUCUGUCAGCCUUCUAUAGUAAGAAACUUGAAUAUGUCAAAAAUUUUACUUGAAUGAUUUAAUGAAUGAUAGAAGAAUCUUAAAAGUUGGAGAAAAGCCUAUAAACAGAAGAAAAACAUGAAAAUUUAAGAACUUAAACUGCCUUAUAAAGAUUACAUAUAUUAAUUAAAAUCUCAUAUACUGUACCUCAGUAAUUGUUGAGAAAAAUAUUGCAAAGAAAUCCCAUAUAUCAAAUUAAUAAAUCCAAUCCAGGCUCAUUUAAGUGAUAAUUUGAUAAUGGAAUAAUGCAAUAUUGAUAUUAAAUUUUAAUAUCACACAUAAUCACUUGUGCUCUUCAGAUUAUAUUCAAAAUUAAAUUUCCAAAGCAGACUUUUUUUUACCAAUUAGUGUCAAUAUGUAUCCCCUUCAAUUUUUAGUUGAAUUAGAUUUUUAAUAAGAAAUGGAAGUGGAGAGUUAGAAUAAUUAUAUGGAUAAUGUAAACAGAUGCAUCAGCAUCGACUUCAAGACUGUUAUGUAUAUAAGGGGAUGAAAGAAUGUAAGUUUCCAUAUUUUUUUUAUAUUUUGAUGUUAUAAUGUAUCAGAAUAUAUAAUACAACAUUAGAGUGUGUGGUAACACUUUUCUGCAACUGUCUGGACUAAAAUUGCUAAUUAGAUGACAUUACCAUAUCUAUUCUUUGUAUUAUUACAAAUUUCCCUUUUUCAUCUUCCCAACUUCCCUUUCCUGUCUUUGCCAUUUGCAGAUUUUUCUUUUCUCCCUAUGAUCCCUCUACAUUAUGGUACUUACUUGAUAAAGAACUUUAAUUGUAUUACUACCUCUGAAUAAAGGGACACUUCUUUCUACCUCCUUCACAAGAAUGUAACCUUCCUUGGGCCAACAACUAUUUGAGGUAUGUUCUCUCUGCAGAAGGUAGAGCACAAGAAAGCAAGUCCAACCUCAAAGCAGUUUUCAAACUUUUACUUGCGUCACCUCCACUAAUACCACAGGAGCCAAAGAAAGUCACACAGCCAACCCAACAUCUUUGGGUAAAAGAAAAUAUACUCUUUCAUGACAGUGUGGGGAAGAGACACUGAAUAUUUGUUUAAAAAAAUAAUCUCAUCAACCACACUUACCAAGUAAGUGAAGAAUUACAGAAAAUAAACCUCAGCUCCUAACACUAUUUG